UAAAACUUUCAACAACGGAUCUCUUGGUUCUGGCAUCGAUGAAGAACGCAGCGAAAUGCGAUAAGUAAUGUGAAUUGCAGAAUUCAGUGAAUCAUCGAAUCUUUGAACGCACAUUGCGCCCUCUGGUAUUCCGGGGGGCAUGCCUGUUCGAGCGUCAUUA
rnacentral:rRNA from 4 species